UGUUGAAUACACCUUUGAAAAGAGGAGGACAAGGUGAAAGUACCUUCAGAAUACAAAUAAUUUGCUUGGCUCAUCUUUUUUUAAAGAGACAAUUCAAAGUUAAAAAGACUGAUUACAUUUUACCAACUGGAAAUCCUAUCCCGCAAAGUCAGAUGGCGGUUAGCAUCAAGAGGAAUGACACAACAAUGGGAAAGCAUUGCUGUCACAAAAGCAUGUUGCAUCAAGGGACAUCAGCAGCUAAUGGAGUUUGGAGGGUAGUUUUGGAGGGUAGUUAAUUCAAUUGUGGUCUAGUUGAUUUUGAUUUUUUUUUUCCUCCCUGAAACUAUUAUACAUAUAUUUAGAUUUUAAAAACCUUUUUCUUUUGCACCAGAGAUUUGAAAUAUUUUUGAUUUAUUGACUCUAAGAAAUACCGAGAUUCCAUUACAGGAGAUUCUGUGUCCCCAGGAAAGAUGCUGUGGUUUUCACAGCAAGGAACAAUUCCCAGUGCAAUAAAGUAACAAAGAAAAUAAUAAAAGAAUGGAGGAUGGCUAUAAAGUACUUGCAGCAGAGCCAGUGAUGAGCACACCUAGGUUCUUCAUCUCUUCACACCUCCUCCACUGAUCUUUACAAAAGUAUAUUUCUGGUGCAGUAAUUUCACAUGUAUAAAAACAUCCUCUGCUGCAGUUUGGACAAGUCCACUGAAGGCGUGGCUACGUGUAAAAUUAGAGGUAGAAGCCACAGUCAGAAAUCAGUAGCUCAACACAAAGUAAAAGAGAAUGCCUACCCAAACAGCUGGAUUAAAUAAACUGGGAACAACACCAGGAGCAGCAACAA